UACGUAGGGCGCAAGCGUUAUCCGGAAUUACUGGGCGUAAAGGGCUCGUAGGCGGCCAACUAAGUCGGAUGUGAAAUCCCCAGGCUUAACCUGGGAAUUGCAUUGAGGACUGGUGUGCUCGAGUGCGGCAGAGGGGGGUGGAAUUCCACGUGUAGCAGUGAAAUGCGUAGAGAUGUGGAGGAACACCGAUGGCGAAGGCAGCCCCCUGGGCCGACACUGACGCUCAUGCACGAAAGCGUGGGGAGCAAACAGG
rnacentral:rRNA from 1 species